GACGAACGCUGGCGGCGUGCCUAAUACAUGCAAGUCGAGCGAACCAAUAAGAAGCUUGCUUUUUGUUGGUUAGCGGCGGACGGGUGAGUAACACGUGGGUAACCUGCCUGUAAGACCGGGAUAACUCCGGGAAACCGGUGCUAAUACCGGAUAGAUUAUCUUUCCGCAUGGAGAGAUAAGGAAAGAUGGCUAUUGCCAUCACUUACAGAUGGGCCCGCGGCGCAUUAGCUAGUUGGUGAGGUAACGGCUCACCAAGGCGACGAUGCGUAGCCGACCUGAGAGGAUGAUCAGCCACACUGGGACUGAGACACGGCCCAGACUCCUACGGGAGGCAGCAGUAGGGAAUCUUCCGCAAUGGGCGAAAGUCUGACGGAGCAACGCCGCGUGAGCGAAGAAGGUCUUCGGAUCGUAAAGCUCUGUUGUUAGGGAAGAACAAGUAUCGGAGGAAAUGCCGGUACCUUGACGGUACCUGACGAGAAAGCCACGGCUAACUACGUG
rnacentral:rRNA from 1 species